GACGAACGCUGGCGGCGUGCUUAACACAUGCAAGUCGAACGGAAAGGCCCUGCUUUUGUGGGGUGCUCGAGUGGCGAACGGGUGAGUAACACGUGAGUAACCUGCCCUUGACUUUGGGAUAACUUCAGGAAACUGGGGCUAAUACCGGAUAGGAGCUCCUGCUGCAUGGUGGGGGUUGGAAAGUUUCGGCGGUUGGGGAUGGACUCGCGGCUUAUCAGCUUGUUGGUGGGGUAGUGGCUUACCAAGGCUUUGACGGGUAGCCGGCCCGAGAGGGUGACCGGCCACAUUGGGACUGAGAUACGGCCCAGACUCCUACGGGAGGCAGCAGUGGGGAAUAUUGCACAGUGGGCGGAAGCCUGAUGCAGCAACGCCGCGUGCGGGAUGACGGCCUUCGGGUUGUAAACCGCUUUCGCCUGUGACGAAGCGUGAGUGACGGUAAUGGGUAAAGAAGCACCGGCUAACUACGUG
rnacentral:rRNA from 1 species